AGUUUUUAUUUUUAUUUUUGUUUUUUUCUUUAGCCUUCAUUCUUUGGUCAUAGUUCUCCAGGGAAGCCAGAGCAAUUCACAGGUGUCCAGAUUGGCUUGUACAUUGUGUUCAAGAGGACAGGAUUUGGAAUCCAAGAUGGCUCCCAGAGUCCUGAAAGUCUUUUCGAAGACUUCUUCACACGAGAACCCAGUCAACUAUGCUACAACACUGACUUUAGAUAGAACACUAUGACCAUGUUUAUUUUUAAAGACAGAAAAACUGUUUUUUUUUUUUAACUUCAGUAACCUUUUAAACCUGACUGCUGUCCCUCGUUAGUGAUGAUGAUGAUGUUGACGUCUCGAUGGAAGACUCUAUGGAGGACUUCCUCUCUAUGGAUGAAGACUUCAGUGGAAUUGAAGAAUUCUUAAAUGGGAGUGUUUUGUGGGUUUUUUUCCCUGCUGAGCAGGUGGUGCUCUGGUCGCUUCCCUUUGGAAGCAUGAAGAAGAAGAGUUUGAUUGAUUGAUUGAUUGAUUGAUUGAUUGAAAACGAACUGUAGUGAAGUCAGGCGGUACUCCUGCUCGGGGCUUGAACCUGGAUCUUUUCUGUCAACCCAACACUUUAGCCAAGAGAUCCAAAACCUCUUGACGAGGUCACUAGGUGUUGGAUUAUGUUAAACGACGGUGAAGUGAGACAUUUUACCAUAGUUCUUAACGUUCACACACACUCCACUGAAGCUGAGCGUUUCCUAAAAUGGACACCAUACCACUGUUUACACUAUCUGACCACGCUGUUAUUACACUCACAGGGAGCUUGUCACAGAAAGAGAGCCCAUCCCCGAACUUUAAAAUGGUGAAAGCCUUCAAUGAUGCUGCCCACACUAAAACUGGCUYUGUGGCCAGUGUGUCCUCUAUCUAUCUCUAUGGCCUCAGCCCUUCCCCUGUCUAGUCCAGACAUGCUGUGGGACUCAUUAACUCCUCAAUCUCAGUGUUUGAAAUGGAACCAGAAGCCAAACGGUGAUAUUAUUAGACAUCAUGUAUUUUUGUAUGUAUGAAAAAAAAAAAGGCAAAGAUUUUAAAAUACAUUUCUCAAAGAGGAAUAAAUAAAAUGCUAAAUUAGA